UCUGGCGAUGAUGGCGAGAAGGUCACACCCGUUCCCAUCCCGAACACGGAAGUUAAGCUUCUCAGCGCCGAUGGUAGUUGGGGGCUUCCCCUGCGAGAGUAGGACGUCGCCAGGC
rnacentral:rRNA from 1 species